rnacentral:rRNA from 1 species
AUUGAACGCUGGCGGCAGGCCUAACACAUGCAAGUCGAACGAGUGGCGGACGGGUGAGUAAUGUCUGGGAAACUGCCUGAUGGAGGGGGAUAACUACGGGAACCGGUAGCUAAUACCGCAUACCAUCGGAUCGGGCCACGGGGGUUUAGCUAGUGGGUGUGGUAACGGCUCACCUAGGCGACGAUCCCUAGCUGGUCUGAGAGGUUGACCGGCCACACUGGAACUGAGACACGGUCCAGACUCCUACGGGAGGCAGCAGUGGGGAAUCUUGCGCAAGGGACGAAAGCCUGAUGCAGCCAUGCCGCGUGUAUGAAGAAGGCCUUCGGAUUGUAAAGUACUUUUAGCGAGGAAGCGUUAUUCGCAGAAGAAGCACCGGCUAACUCCGUGCCAGCAGCCGCGGUAAUAC